GAUGAACGCUGGCGGCGUGCCUAAUACAUGCAAGUCGAGCGAACAGACGAGGAGCUUGCUCCUCUGACGUUAGCGGCGGACGGGUGAGUAACACGUGGAUAACCUACCUAUAAGACUGGGAUAACUUCGGGAAACCGGAGCUAAUACCGGAUAAUAUAUUGAACCGCAUGGUUCAAUAGUGAAAGACGGUUUUGCUGUCACUUAUAGAUGGAUCCGCGCCGCAUUAGCUAGUUGGUAAGGUAACGGCUUACCAAGGCAACGAUGCGUAGCCGACCUGAGAGGGUGAUCGGCCACAUUGGAACUGAGACACGGUCCAGGCUCCUACGGGAGGCAGCAGUAGGGAAUCUUCCGCAAUGGGCGAAAGCCUGACGGAGCAACGCCGCGUGAGUGAUGAAGGUCUUCGGAUCGCAAAACUCUGUUAUUAGGGAAGAACAAAUGUGUAAGUAACUAUGCACGUCUUGACGGUACCUAAUCAGAAAGCCACGGCUAACUACGUG
rnacentral:rRNA from 1 species